AUAUUCAUUAAGUGGCAUGGUUACUAACAACCCUUGAACUUCAUAACUCACAGGCCAGCUCCAAAUUCUCACAGAAGUACCAUGAUCGACACACCUACCAACCCCAAGACCAGACCACCAAGCCAGAGAUGGCAGUCAAGUUACAUUCUCAUAGCAGUGACUAUAGCAACCAGCAAAAUUUCUUUACAUCUAAUCAUCUUGUCAAAUUAUCACCUUGAUGUCUCUUCCUGGAAUCAUCCAUCUCCUCCAUCUUCAGGUAACCUGAUUUCUGCUGGAAUAUCCCAGUUUGAUCACCAGAGCAAGUCAGAACAGUUGUGCAGACCUUAUCUCUUAAUUAAAUCCAGACCUUGAAGAUUCCUCUCCAUCAGGACUUCAUUUGUUCAUCAGAGAAGUAAUUAUGCUUCAUAAUCAGACAACUUGUGUGGUUCCUAUUCACUGCCCAUGUGACUUUUGACAAGUACUUCUAAAUUUCUGAGCCUGUUUUCUUUUAUAAAAUGGGAGUAUUAGUACCUACCUUCUAGAGGGGCUAUGAGAAUUCUCUGAGGUACCAUAAGGACAUGA
rnacentral:lncRNA from 1 species